UUCUCUUGUUCCUGUUUUCUCAUCAUGAUUCAAAGGUCCUGAAUAAACUGCUGAAAGAAGAAUCCUGUGUCGUGUUUCCCUUGCUGGCGAGGGGUCGCGACAGUAAAUAGUGCAAUUGUUGUAGGGUAGUGAAAGCUUCUACCAGUAUUUCAAAGGAAAUCUUUGGAGGACAUGUGUGUCAGGUGCUCAUAACCUAGAGUUUGCCUUGAAUAUAAGAAGUGAUUUUGGACUUGGACUUCUGAACGAUACUAGAAACAUUAAGACUGUGGGGGACUCUUGGAGAUGGACUGAAAGCAUUUUUUACUGUAAGAAGUAUAUGACCCUUUGAGGCUCAGGGGUGGAAUGUUGGAUUUGGACUCUCAAAUGUCAUGUGUGGAAGGUCUUAGUUGAUGGGAAUUACUGGAAAUUAUGGAAACUUUAGAUCUGGAGACUAGCUGAAGGAACUAGGUUGACCCCAACCGGUUCUGCCCACUCUGAUUGCUUCCCAACCACAAUAAUAUAUGCAGUUUCCUCCAUCAUGCUAUACUAGCUGACCACAGGCCACAGGCAAUAAGGCCAGGUGACAAUGGACCGAAAAUGCUGAAACCAUAUGCAAAAAUAAAUAUUGCCUCCAUUUAAA